UUCUGAAUGAACUCUAGUAUUUGCCUCGCCUUUAUACCCGUAUGUCCAGGGGCGGGGUAUGCAAAUACUGACUGCCAACUUCUCAUUGGCCUUUUUUCAUAGAUCAGAGGUAUAUUCGGUGCUCAAGAGAGACCCCUAGUGUCGCUUCUCCGACACAACGUGGAGAGAGCGACAGAAGGGGAACCAUAAUAUUUUUUGUCAUUUUGGUGUGCGAUGUAAAUGUGUUUUUAGUUUUUUAUUUUUUUAUCUCAGAUGUGGAUUCUCCAGUGAUUAAGUGUCCUAAUAUAAAGGAGAAGACAGCUGAACCCAGAAAACUCACUGCCAAAAUGACAUGGGACACACCAGAGGGCAAAGACACAGCGGACGGCAUUCUAACAGAUGUUGAACUGAAAGGAAAACCAUCUGGAACCCACUUCCAAGAAGGAUAUCAUAAAUUAUCUUAUACGGUUUCAGACCGGGCUGGAAACAAAGCUACCUGCAGGUUCAAGUCAGAGUGCAUCGAUGUACUCCUCUUUCUGUUCCUGACAAUGGCUGGAUGAAAUGUGACAGCGGGGGUGAUAAUUACGGGCCACGUAUGAAUUCAGCUGUCGGGGUGGUUAUGAGCUGAGGGGCAGCGCUGCCAGAGUCUGCCAGUUUAACAUGGAGUGGUCUGGCCUGGAGACCUCCUGUGCUCGUAUGGAAAGCAAUUUUAACUCCUGACUAACAUCUACAUCAGCUAACCAACAUGCACAGUGUGGUCUAGAGUUAAGGCAUGUGACAGUGAUUGAGCUGGUGGGGGUGUAUCCAGCUCAGAUUGGCCGCAUCAGACAUGGGCUCAUCUCUUUAGGACUAGCUCUACAACUCAGCUGUUUUAGGCUGUUUAAGCAUAUGGAAAAGAAGCGGUUACAUCUAUCCAUAGUGAUGUAUGAACUGUCAUUUUAUAAGAGCCUCCACAACAUUGCUCACAGGCAGUGUACACCAGAAAGCCCUCCUGUUUGGGGACAUAAAAGGACAUAGAUUUGGGCAGGCUCAGGUGCUGGCAGUGGUGCUGUGACUGGAGCGAGGGGAAACUCCAUAAGAGCAACAAAGUUGGUGUCAGGUGUGCUGCAGAACAGCUCAUUGGAACCAAACGCCGGGAAACAAAUAACUAACUAUCAAGAACUGUCCAUGUUUUUGAUUUAGGUGCUGGAUCGCAAUAAAUAUCCCCAAGUAUUUUGAACUGAAAUAGAAAGCUUUUGUAACAUUAUAAAUGUCUUUACUGUCACUUUUGAUCAGUAUAAUGCAUAUUUGCUGAAUGAAAGUAUUCAUUUCUUUCAACAAAAAAAAAAGAAAAAAAAUUCUUACUGACCUCAAAUAUUUGUACAUUAGUGUGUUACAAAAGCUUUCCAUUUCAGAUAAAUGCUACUAUUUGGAACUUUCUAUUCAUCAAAGAAUCCUGAAAAUAGUUCA